UGGGGAAUAUUGCACAAUGGGCGAAAGCCUGAUGCAGCAACGCCGCGUGAACGAUGAAGGUCUUCGGAUCGUAAAGUUCUGUUGCAGGGGAAGAUAAUGACGGUACCCUGUGAGGAAGCCCCGGCUAACUACGUGCCAGCAGCCGCGGUAAUACGUAGGGGGCUAGCGUUAUCCGGAUUUACUGGGCGUAAAGGGUGCGUAGGUGGUCCUUCAAGUCGGUGGUUAAAGGCUACGGCUCAACCGUAGUAAGCCGCCGAAACUGGAGGACUUGAGUGCAGGAGAGGAAAGUGGAAUUCCCAGUGUAGCGGUGAAAUGCGUAGAUUUGGGAGGAACACCAGUAGCGAAGGCGGCUUUCUGGACUGCAACUGACACUGAGGCACGAAAGCGUGGGUAGCAAACAGGAUUAGAUACCCUGGUAGUCCACGCUGUAAACGAUGAGUACUAGGUGUCGGGGGUUACCCCCCUCGGUGCCGCAGCUAACGCAUUAAGUACUCCGCCUGGGGAGUACGCACGCAAGUGUG
rnacentral:rRNA from 1 species